CGGGGCGUAGCGCAGCCUGGUAGCGCGCACGCUUGGGGUGCGUGAGGUCCCCGGUUCAAAUCCGGGCGCCCCGACCA
rnacentral:tRNA from 1 species